rnacentral:misc_RNA from 1 species
UAAAAAAAAAAAAACAAAACAAAAACAAAAAUUAAAGAAGGUGGAUAUCCUUUGUCCAUCUUCUCCAUAAAAGGAUUCUUUUAAGGUGCAGAUCCCUAUAUACUACAUAAUAAGAUUAGACUGAUGUUUGAUUUAGUAAGAAGAAAACUCACAGGGUAAGUGCAAAUGGAGUGAGAGAGAGAGAGAGAGGAAAGCACACCAUUUAUGAACAACACACACACACAUAUAGAAAGAGAGAGUUAUAGAGACACACACAGUAAUUGCUUGCGUUCUAGAGAAAUGCAGCUGCACAAGGACUAACGUUUGUGACAAAAAUACUCUGUAACAUCUAUCUACCUCUUUCAAGUGAAACUUUCACACUCUCAGCCUGUAGACAUAGAUCAGUUGACCAGAGUGUAUGCAGAUUGCAACAUGUAGGAUUUUGUGGAGAAAGAGGCAAUGCUGAAGAUAUCAAAAUGCCCAGACAUGCAAAUCAUAUGGUGCCUGUCUAAUUGAUUCAUACAUAAGGGUAGAUAUUUAGGAAUAAUUUGUAUAGCAGGAAGUUAUCUUAGGAACUUGAAAUUCCUAGGAAGUGGGAAACUCAUUGUGCCUGGUCCACUAGAAUAAACAUAGUCAACCCAAAUUUCCCUAUGACUUGUCAAGUUCCUCAAAACCACAUAAUUAACUUAAAAAAUCAAAGAGGGAAAUUAAUAAGUGCAACUACCUCAGGGAACAUUGAAUGAGAUUAAGAGAUUACCUAAAAUAAUAUCUAGAUACUUUCCUAAAAUAAAUUUGUAUUGAUAUAUGAGGAAUAUAACUAUAUUUUCUUAUACUUCCUAGAAGUUGAUAAAUAAAAAGAAGCAGACAUGUUCAAACCAAAUGAGGCCUUACUAUCAUAUUAUGGCUUCUGUCUAUUAAUAGAUCUGGUGCAUAUUCAAGUCACUACCAAUUAUUUAUAUCUUAACAAGCUUCACUAAUUCCUUCAAUGAAGGAUAUUAGGGUUUUCCAUUGCACUAGCGCUUCCCUCUACGUCCUCUUGUUAGUCCUCCAAACUACAGCACCCCUCUAUUGGUCAAUGCCUCUCUCCGCCUUUAACAGUCAUGAUUCAUAAAAAAAUAAAUAAAUAAAUAA